rnacentral:tRNA from 1 species
CGCGGCGUAGCGCAGUGGGAGCGCGCCGGGCUCAUGCCCCGGAGGUCACAGGUUCGAACCCUGUCGCCGCAACCA